GGAUGCGAUCAUACCAGCACUAACGGCUCAGA
rnacentral:rRNA from 1 species